rnacentral:rRNA from 1 species
ACAGAGAGAAGCGAAUUCGCAAGGAAGAGCGGAUCUCAAAAAAGUGGUCCCAGUUCGGAUUGUGGGCUGCAACCCGCCCACAUGAAGUCGGAGUUGCUAGUAAUCCCGAAUCAGCAUGUCGGGGUGAAUGCGUUCCCGGGUCUUGUACACACCGCCCGUCAAGCCAUGGGAGUCGGGAGUGCCUGAAGUUCGUGACCGUAUAGGAGCGACCUAGGGCAAGACUGAUGACUGGGGCUAAGUCGUAACAAGGUAAC